rnacentral:lncRNA from 1 species
CCCAGCCCCGGGCGCCCAGCACUCACUCAUCGCGUGUGUAGCAGGGCCGGUCUUCCGGGCCUGCUCCUCACCCUGGAUCCAGACGAAGCCGUAGAGGAAGUAGAAGCGGCCGCCAGUAUUGGGCCCAGGCCGCCAGUAGGCGCGGCGGAUCUCGUUGGUUUUCUCGGUGAAGCUGGAGUUCUGGCGGAUCUUGUAGUGCACGUGAGGCGGGAGCGAGCCGUCCUUCCGGGUCUGG